AGAUCUCCAUAGCCACGGGAUGGCUUGGUGGAGAAGUCAGCCGAAGUCGUAGUAGCCAGCCACCUGAUAGGCUGGUGAAGGAC
rnacentral:ncRNA from 1 species